CGCUGGUCUGUACUGACGCUGAGCUCGAAAGUAUGGGUAGCAAACAGGAUUAGAUACCUGGUAGUCCAUACCGUAAACGAUGAAUGCUAAGUGUUGGAGGUUUCCCCUUCAGUGCUGCAGCUAACGCAUUAAGCAUUCCGCUGGGUAGUACGGCCGCAAGGCUGAAACUCAAAGGAAUUGACGGGGGCCCGCACAAGCGGUGGAGCAUGUGGUUUAAUUCGGAGCUACGCGAAGAACCUUACCAGGUCUUGACAUACUAUGCAAAUCUAAGAGAUUAGACGUUCCCUUCGGGGACAUGGAUACAGGUGGUGCAUGGUUGUCGUCAGCUCGUGUCGUGAGAUGUUGGGUUAAGUCCCGCAACGAGCGCAACCCUUAUUAUCAGUUGCCAGCAUUAAGUUGGGCACUCUGGUGAGACUGCCGGUGACAAACCGGAGGAAGGUGGGGAUGACGUCAAAUCAUCAUGCCCCUUAUGACCUGGGCUACACACGUGCUACAAUGGAUGGUACAACGAGUUGCGAACUCGCGAGAGUAAGCUAAUCUCUUAAAGCCAUUCUCAGUUCGGAUUGUAGGCUGCAACUCGCCUGCAUGAAGUCGGAAUCGCUAGUAAUCGCGGAUCAGCAUGCCGCGGUGAAUACGUUCCCGGGCCUUGUACACACCGCCCGUCACACCAUGAGAGUUUGUAACACCCAAAGUCGGUGGGGUAACCUUUAGGAACCAGCCGCCUAAGGUGGGACAGAUGAUUAGGGUGAAGUCGUAACAAGGUAACCA
rnacentral:rRNA from 1 species